GAUGAAGAACGUAGCGAAAUGCGAUAAGUAAUGUGAAUUGCAGAAUUCAGUGAAUCAUCGAAUCUUUGAACGCACAUUGCGCCCGCCAGUAUUCUGGCGGGCAUGCCUGUUCGAGCGUCAUUUCAACCAUCAAGCCCCAGGCUUGUGUUGGGGACCUGCGGCUGCCGCAGGCCCUGAAAACCAGUGGCGGGCUCGCUGUCACACCGGGCGUAGUAGAUUUUAUCUCGCUCAGGGCGUGGUGCGGGUUCCGGCCGUUAAAAAGCCUUUUUUACCCAAGGUUGACCUCGGAUCAGGUAGGAAGACCCGCUGAACUUAAGCAUAUCAAUAAGCGGAGGA
rnacentral:misc_RNA from 1 species